AGAGUUUGAUCUUGGCUCAGGACGAACGCUGGCGGCGUGCCUAAUACAUGCAAGUCGAACGAGAAUUGCUUACACCGAGUGCUUGCACUCACCGUAAGGAAUUCGAGUGGCGGACGGGUGAGUAACACGUGGGUAACCUGCCUAUCAGAGGGGGAUAACACUUGGAAACAGGUGCUAAUACCGCAUAAUAUUGAAAAGCGCAUGCUUUUCAAUUAAAAGGCGCUUCUGGUGUCACUGAUAGAUGGACCCGCGGCGUAUUAGCUAGUUGGUGAGGUAACGGCCUACCAAGGCAAUGAUACGUAGCCGAGUUGAGAGACUGAUCGGCCACAAUGGGACUGAGACACGGCCCAUACUCCUACGGGAGGCAGCAGUAGGGAAUCUUCCACAAUGGGCGCAAGCCUGAUGGAGCAACGCCGCGUGCGUGAAGAAGGUCUUCGGAUCGUAAAGCGCUGUUGUUAGAGAAGAACACGGAUAAGAGUAACUGUUUAUGCGUUGACGGUAUCUAACCAGAAAGUCACGGCUAACUACGUGCCAGCAGCCGCGGUAAUACGUAGGUGGCAAGCGUUGUCCGGAUUUAUUGGGCGUAAAGGGAACGCAGGCUGUUUUUUAAGUCCGAUGUGAAAGCCUUCGGCUUAACCGAAGAAGUGCAUUGGAAACUGGGAGACUUGAGUGCAGAAGAGGAGAGUGGAACUCCAUGUGUAGCGGUGAAAUGCGUAGAUAUAUGGAAGAACACCAGUGGCGAAAGCGGCUCUCUGGUCUGUAACUGACGCUGAGGUUCGAAAGCAUGGGUAGCGAACAGGAUUAGAUACCCUGGUAGUCC
rnacentral:rRNA from 1 species